UACAGAGGUGGCAAGCGUUGUUCGGAAUUACUGGGCGUAAAGGGCGCGUAGGCGGCCUUCUAAGUCAGACGUGAAAUCCCCAGGCUUAACCUGGGCACUGCGUCUGAUACUGGAAGGCUUGAGUGCGGGAGAGGGAUGUGGAAUUCCAGGUGUAGCGGUGAAAUGCGUAGAUAUCUGGAGGAACACCGGUGGCGAAGGCGGCAUCCUGGACCGACACUGACGCUGAGGCGCGAAAGCCAGGGGAGCAAACGGG
rnacentral:rRNA from 1 species